rnacentral:lncRNA from 1 species
CAAAAGAACUCCAGAAGAGAAAGUCUGAAGUAACGUUGACACUAGCUCCUCUAAAGGCUAAGUUGGCUUGCCUGACCAGAAAAUGCCAGGAAAGGAACAGCUUCAUUAUCAGGAUGCAUGGCGAGUUUCACCGUCAAGGAUUUAACAACUCCAUGUUCGAUGAAGAGGUGAGAAGCUUGGUGAACGACGUUGCCCUUGCAGAGUACACAGCCACUUUUACAACAACAUGUAAUCAAGAGAUGCUGCCUUCUUCCACAGACAUUUCAGAGGCCAGUGGACAGUCAGAGUAUCAUGAAGCUUCAGUCAGAGAGAGCAGAAUGUCAGGGUUGAUACCUGUAACCUUUCUGCAAGAGGCAGAUGGUAUCCACAGUUCUCACAUCACUCCAAAUAUAUACACCAGUUCUCCUGUAAAAUUAACAAGUCCAGAGAGGAUCAUAGCCUUGCAUCAGGAACUCAGACAAAACCA